CCUUUCUCUUGCAGGCUGUGCUUCAGUCCGCAGACACGGCAAGAUGCCACGCAAAAUUGAAGAAAUAAAAGAUUUUCUGCUUACAGCAAGAAGGAAGGAUGCCAAGUAUUCAUCUGUUGUCCCACAGCUGUAAAGAUCAAGAAGAACAAGGAAAAUGUCAAGUUCAAGGUGCGUUGCAGCAGG